AGAGGAAGAAGAAAAAGGUGGGGGCCGCGAGUCCCCUCCCAACUGCGACAGUCCACUUCGGGGCCUCAGGGGCUUUUGCUCCUUUUGGAAGCAGCGAGGAAGGGAGAUGCGAGUCGCAGGAAAUAACCGUUCUGAUUUUAAAGGUUCUGCAAAACUAUCCCAACAAAUCAGGACAAACUUCACACUGGGAUCUUGACUCACAGGGUGUUGACAUAAUACAGUGUCCAUGGCCAACAAAUACUAAAUACCACGAGGUACCUGAGACAAAAAAAAGACAGGAAGGAAGUUGGGAGAAGAGUAAAAAGGAGUUUGGAGUCUUGGCCUUCGGAGACCCGAGCGGCCCAGCAGAGUUUCUCGGCGGGGAGCAGCCGUGUGCGCGUCCAGCCCCUGCUUGCUUCACAGCUCCGCUUCCGAGGCGCAGACCUCCGUCGCGGUGAUGGCGAUUCCGAUGGCAAGGCUGCCGUUGUCAGAGAAGAGCUGGGCCAGCGAGGUGUUGAGGACGAGGCAGUCCCCGUCAGUGAUCACCGAGUCCACGCACUCAAGGACAGACCGGGGGGUGGCCUCCCACUUGAGACGACGAUGGUUUCUGUUGAGCUCCAGGCGAUAGCACCAGCAGAAAGUGGUGGCCGAGGCAGGAGUGCAUGAUGAUCCAGUCGGCCGGUGCGGGGAGGUGCAUGUCCGUGGCCAGGAAGACUAUCUCAGCUCCCUGAAGGAUGUCAACCCUGUGCAUCUGGCGCAGGCUCACCGCUUAGGAGCAGCUUCACAGGGUCUCGGCCCCAGGAAGUCUCCACUUCUGAGAAUCUUCUGACCUGUAGUUCCUCCUGACACUGUGCCCAUAAAUGUCCUCAAAAGCACCAGCAGGCGUGAUGGCAACUUCUGACCAGGUGUCAGUGAACAUUUAUUGAACAGCGGCUAUAGCCAGAACUUGCAUGCACUAGGGGUACAGCCUUGAGCAAAAUAAACACCUCAUUUCUUGGUGUGGGUGGCACA